rnacentral:rRNA from 1 species
UAGCGUAUAUUAAAGUUGUUGCAGUUAGAACGCUCGUAGUCGGAUUUCGGGGCGUUCCGACCGGUCUGCCGAUGGGUAUGCACUGGCCGGAGUGUCCUUUUUGCCGGAGACCGUGCCUACUCUUAACUGAGCGGGGGCGGGAGACGGAACGUUUACUUUGAAAAAAUCAGAGUGUUUCAAGCAGGCAGCUCGCUCUUGCAUGGAUUAGCAUGGGAUAAUGAAAUAGGACUUUGGUGCUAUUUUGUUGGUUUCGAACACCGAAGUAAUGAUGAGAAGGGACAGUCAGGGGCACUCGUAUUCCGCCGAGAGAGGUGAAAUUCUCAGACCAGCGGAAGACGAACCACUGCGAAAGCAUUUG